rnacentral:misc_RNA from 1 species
AAUUAUCUCUCUACUUCUCUCUCUCUCUCUCUGUACUGUCAACUUUUAACUAUUUACACUCCAAGCCCCUGCAAUACCCUACAAUCUUGCAAAACCCCCCAAAUUUUUGCCUAAGGUACCCUCUUUCCCUCUCAAUAUAUACCAUUUUAAUUUUUAAUUAUCUUCUUUUUCCUUCAAGGUCCUUUGUAAAUUUCUACAAUUCUAGGGUUUCAUUUGAUCUUUUCAUACAAGCUAGGGUUUUCUUUUUUCUGCUGCGUGCUUAGAUACCAGUUGAGAAUUGGAGCAGUAUCGGAGAAUUUAAUGGAGGCCGCGGCCGGUGUCGUCGCCUCACGCGGCGGUUCUCUGCCGAUGCCAUUGUCUAGGAAGGAGUGGCGUGCCGUUUCUGACCAUCAUUCCGUUCGAAACGCUGGUGAUGAGGUGGUAAUUUUGCUUUCGGGUUGUUCAGAUUCCUGCGAAAAAUGUAGGAGAGAAAUUGAACGUUUGGUGUGUGGUACAAGAUUUUAGCGGUUUCGUUUGAUGCAAAGUUUGUAGUUUCCGUUGAUUUUCUCAGCUACCAAACUUGGAGUUGGGUCAUUUUUUAGUGUGCUUUUACAAUAUAUGAACAGAACGCUUGAUGUGAACAAUUUGGUUUAUGUGGUUUUGCCCAAGGUUUUUGAAGUAAUCUGCGGGUUGAACUUCAUUUUCUGUAUGGAAAAAUUAGUCUCCAGUAGGUUGUCGGAACCUAACUCCGAUGUAUAAUUUCAUUCUAGUGAAUGUUCUGUCAUAUUUAUGAGUAACGUUGAAAACCAGCCAAUAAAUUUGACAUCCAAAUCUUUAAUUCCUUCUGUUUUCUGCAUUUUCUGGGUAACUUAAUAAAUGCUAGGAUGUGUAACUUGUGUUGAUCUCUGGGUCAUUAAUUUGGUGCUGGUUAAUCACAGGAAUUGGAACGAUCAAAUUUGGUGCAAUCAGAUGAGAGAACAACAUGCGAGCAUGGAAGAGAGCCUGCUGAUGUGGACUUCUGUUCGAUCAAUGUGGAUGGUAGUUUGGACAAUGACAUUAUGCAGCAGCGAAUUCAUAGUAUUACUAGACAAAGAGAAGAGCUGCAACAUGUGGAGAUUGAACUUAAAGCUCAGUUGAAGAUCAUGGAAAUGCAGAACAGUUUUGAUGCUCAAAUCAAAGAUCAUGAAGAUGCUGCUGCAAAUCUUAAGGAACAACUCCGAGAAAGGGAACAGGUGAAACAUGAAUUAGAAAGGAGAAUGGAAGAGAAAGAAAGAGAAUUACAUGCCAUUAAAUUGGAUAAUGAAGCGGCCUGGGCCAAGGAAGGCCUUCUCAGAGAACAAAAUAAAGAAUUGGCAACAUUUAGAAGAGAGCGGGAUCAUUCUGAAGCUGAAAGGGCACAGCAUAUACAGCAAAUACGGGACCUUCAAGAACAUGUUCAAGAAAAAGAGAGGCAGAUUCUUGAAUUGCAGGAACAGCAUAGAGCUGAUCAGGAGACAAUAUUUUUGAAGGAUGAACAAUUGAAAAUUUGGAUUGCACGCGUUCAGGAGAUGGAUGCCUUGCAAUCUACUACAAACCACUCGCUGCAAGUUGAAUUACGAGAACGUACAGAACAAUAUAAUCAGCUAUGGUUGGGUUGUCAAAGAC